GCUGGGUGUGGUGGCGCACACCUGUAAUCCCAGCUACUCAGGAGGCUGAGGCAGGAGAAUUGCUUGAACUCAGGAGGCAGAGGCUGCCGUGAGCUGAGUCACGCCACUGCACUCCGGCCUGGGCAACAGAGUGAGACUCUGUCUCAA
rnacentral:sRNA from 1 species